rnacentral:rRNA from 1 species
AGACAGGUGCUGCAUGGCUGUCGUCAGCUCGUGUUGUGAAAUGUUGGGUUUAAGUCCCGCAACGAGCGCAACCCCUGCAUUCAGUUGCCAACGGUAAGGCCGGGCACUCUGGAUGGACUGCCGGCGACAAGCCGGAGGAAGGUGGGGAUGACGUCAAGUCAUCAUGGCCCUUAUGUCCAGGGCGACACACGUGCUACAAUGGCCGGUACAAAGGGUCGCAAUACCGCGAGGUGGAGCUAAUCCCAAAAAGCCGGUCUCAGUUCGGAUUGGAGUCUGCAACUCGACUCCAUGAAGGCGGAAUCGCUAGUAAUCGCGGAUCAGCAUGCCCGCGGUCGAAUACGUUCCCGGGCCUU